GGCUCUUUGGCGUAACCGGAAACGCGCCGGAGUGAAGUCCCGGAGUUCGCCGUUCGAUCCGGCGGGGAGCCACCA
rnacentral:tRNA from 1 species